GUCCACGCCGUAAACGAUGGGUACUAGGUGUAGGAGGUGUCGACUCCUCCUGUGCCGAAGCUAACGCAUUAAAGUACCCCGCCUGGGGAGUACGGCCGCAAGGCUAAAACUCAAAAGGAAUUGACGGGGACCCGCACAAGCGAGCGGAGCAUGUGGUUCAAUUCGACGCAACGCGAAGAACCUUACCUGGGCUUGACAUGUCGGUGACAGCCGUGGAAACACGGUCUCCCUUCGGGGCACCGUCACAGGUGGUGCAUGGCUGUCGU
rnacentral:rRNA from 1 species